GUGGCCAGCAACUGCACUGAGCAUUUUAUGAUUUGAGAUAUGCACUGCAUCUGAAUAACAAUCAGGGCUGGCUGAUGCUCCCACCCACCCCUGCCACCACCCCUCCAAUCUCCUUAGUGAAGUCAUACUGAGGCCAAGGUGAGAGGCCAACUAACUCAGUAAAGAAGGCAAGGAUGAGCCUAAGCCUCUUUGUUCUCCAUGGCUCAGCAGCAAACAAGGUUUCAAGGUUACUUGCUGGAACAGGUCACUUAUAUACGACAACAAUUUUGAUAUUGCUUCUGAUUUUAAGCUUCUAGGUCGUCCUGGUGACCCUUUCAAAAGUGGGGAGAGAAAGUUGGUGGAAAGAUGGCUUUGGUUUAGUACCCAAACCAUCCUUAUCAGAAACAGGAGGAGGACAGCAUGGAUAGGACAAAGGUGUCAGCUGAGGAAAUGACUGGUGCAAUGGAAGCUGUUAAAUCUAAUAGCUCAGAACUGUCGAAUAUAACCCUCAUAUUUGAAAAGUUUUUCAUUGAGUUUUAC